GUCUGAGCAGGAGAGCGAGGACGAGUCUGAGCAGGAGAGCGAGGACGAGUCUGAUCAGGAGAGCGGGGACGAGUCUCAGCAGGAGAGCGGGGACGAGUCUGAGCAGGAGAGCGAGGACGAGUCUGAG